rnacentral:rRNA from 1 species
UACGGAGGGUGCAAACGUUGUUCGGAAUUACUGGGCGUAAAGCGCGUGUAGGCGGCUAAGUAAGUCGGGCGUGAAAUCCCACGGCUCAACCGUGGAAGUGCACUCGAAACUGCAUAGCUAGAGUCCUGGAGAGGAAGGCGGAAUUCUCGGUGUAGAGGUGAAAUUCGUAGAUAUCGAGAGGAACACUGGUGGCGAAGGCGGCCUUCUGGACAGCAACUGACGCUGAGACGCGAAAGCGUGGGGAGCAAACAGG